UUUUUAUUUGUCAUAUAAGUUAAUAAAUAAGUAUUUAAAGAAAAAAAAUUAGAAGAGCUUUUGAGCGAGAAUUAUGAUUAUCUCAUUAUAUGAUAUUUUCUUAAAUAAAAAUACAUGUGAGUGAUUAAUAGUUAAUAAAAAAAAUAUAAAAAAAUUAAAUUCUACACAUACACUAUCACUUAAAUACACGUAGCAUAAUAUUUUUAAAAGUUUAUGAGAAACCCGUAUAAGGAGAUGAUCUCUCCGCUGAUGCUAUUAGUCCGACCAUCAACACCUAUCUCAAUUGCUUUCCAAAAAGGUUCCUCUUAUUCUAGAUGAACAAGGUCGGACAUGUCCCUCAAAAAAUAUAGUGGGGAUGAAAAUUCAAAUGCUGAAAAAAAAUUAUUAUUUCGUUCCAAAAUUUAUAGCCUCGUAUCUAUUCUCAGGCUACAUGAACUGAAGAGGGCAUAUCAUAAUGGGCCGCAUCGUCAAGUCUGAUUUAACAAGCUAACCAACAUGGUGUCCAAAGAUUAAAUUUUAACGGAUCAAAACGCGGACCUUAUUUUCUUUCUUUCUUUCCUUUUUUUUUUUCACAAUACAUUACACAUUGAUUAAUAGUUGUAUCAGAAAUUUCCCAAGAUUUUAUUUCGAUUUAUCACAGUUGAAGCCUAGAUCAAACUAGCCAACAAGGAGAAAACUUACUUUCAAAACACACGAAUAGAUUGGAACCCUCAACCUCAAUAAUGAAAUGUGAAGAUGCCCCUACUCUAAUAAAGAAAAAUAUGCUGAUGUGGUUUUAAUACAAAAUAUAUAGUGAAUAAGGUCAUGUAAAAGAAAAAAAAAUUAAAUACAUGUAAUGAAAAGGUAGGAACGGCUCUGUAGUAAAGCCACUUUCAUGUCAAGGCCUACAAAAUGACUGUUCUUGUUCGCAUAUAAAUAUAUGGGGCUCGGAGAGUCGGAGGGGAACCCACUAACAGCAAAACAUGUUCAAUUCUGCGUCGUGAUUUGCCGACACAAAAACUUGAGCUGUCUAUAUUUCAUAAAUUAUCAUCAACUAUAUCGAGGUAAUUUAUAAAAGCAGUAUUAAUUCCAAUGCUUCCUCACCAAAAUGCAAUUUGGAAAACACUAAUGAAUGGUCAUUUUUUGCAAAAGGAUAAGAAGAAUGUGAGUGUGUCUGCAAAUAUUUGUCUAGAUUUUAACACUUGUCUGUUUGGUAAGAUGUCUAUCAUAUACAGAGAGUUGGACAAAUGAAAUACAUAUGUAUAGCUGCCACCAUGCCUGAAUUAUUGGUUAUAUGUUCAUGAAUCGUCUGCUAUCAAACUAGGCAAGGCUUGGCAAUAUUUUUUGUGUAUAAUAUAGUAAUAAGUAUUGAUGGAUGGUACGUGUCCAACUAUUGAAGUUAUCUUUUGCAUGCAUAUAUAUAUA
rnacentral:lncRNA from 1 species